CCCAAACCAGUCGGCGGCGGCCCUGCGCUCCCCGCCCCGGCCCUGCCCACACCGCCCGAGGCUUGGUCGGCCGGAGCCGGCUUCGCCCCCGCGUCCCCCCCGCAGGAUGUGGCGGGCUGAGCCGUGAGCGCUCGGCGCGAUGACUUUGCGCCUUAACCGAACCAGGCCUUUCCAGGCCGGAGGUGGCAGGAAAGUGAGGUGUGACCUGCGGUGUGCCAGAGCCAGCUCGAACCGAUGCCAGAAAACCGACUGUUAGAUUGUCAGGGGUUUUGCAAACCGUCGACUGCAGCUGGAAAUGCUACCACAAUCAUGUGCUGUGCACAUCUCUUCCCCACUGGGCGUUCUGGGCGUCCGUGUCGGGGGUGUUUACACCACAGAAAUGGGCAACAGGUGGUUAAACAUUUACCACCCCCUGCCGAGUGUAACCCACCUCCCAGAGGCAGGGCGGAGACCUUCCCGCUCUGAGUCACGCUCCUGCGAUAAGACCCGGAUCUAACUGAACCUCCACACAGUGGACUAUGCACGCAGAGGCGACGUGCGUUCAUAAAAAUCUUAGGCUGAUUCAGAAAAUGCCAUCUGUUCUUCCCAAGUGCUAGGACAACACAGAAAGUGCAGACGGAGGGCGGGUCCGCUUCAGUGAAGAGCAAACAAGUGGUGUGAGUAGCCCUCAGUGUAAGUAGGUUCGGCCAAAGCUGUGGACGGAGCUGGCAAUAAUCUCUGUUCUGGAGUCCAGCCCUGUCUGCCCUGGAUUAGACCCGUCCUUGGGUUUCGUAGGAGCCCGGCAUAGCGCUCACUCUGCCUCAUCAGACACCUCAUCCCUGCGCUGAAGCC